UACAGAGGGUGCAAGCGUUAAUCGGAAUUACUGGGCGUAAAGCGUGCGUAGGCGGUUUAGUGUGUGGGAAUUGAAAGCCCGGGGCUCAACUCCGGAUCCGGUUCCCAAACUGCUAGACUCGAGCGUAUCAGAGGACAGUGGAAUUCCCGGUGUAGCGGUAAUAUGCGUAGAUAUCGGGAGGAACACCUGCGGCGAAGGCGGGUUGCUGGGCUGACACUGACGCUGAGGCGCGAAAGCUAGGGGAGCGAACGGG
rnacentral:rRNA from 1 species